GGGAAUGCACCCCACAUGCUGGACUAUUUGCGGUUCCCCGAAGAAUUAGUUUUUUUGUUUUUUGGGGUUUCUGUUUUGCUUUUUAGGAGUUUCCCAGGCUAAGGGUCGAAUUGGAGCUAUAGCUGCCGGCCUACGUACCACAGCCACAGCAUAGCAUCUGAGCCAUGUCUGACCUGCACCACAGCUAAUGGCAAUGCUAGAUCCUUAACCCACUGAGCAAGGACGGGGAUCAAACCUGCACCCUCAUGGAUGCUAGUCAGAUUCGUUAACCGCUGAGCCUCAACAGAGAACUCCUACCCCAAGAAUUGUGUUCUGUUGUAUCUUUGUCUUGGCACAUGCUACUUCCUUGAUUCAUUCAUUUAGCAACUAAUGAGCAAUUGCCUAAGGCCAGGCAUUUUAUUUGGAGUUGUUCCCACCUCCUCUGUCUUGCUGAUUCCUCACUGUCCAGAACCAUACAAGGCCCCUCUUUCAGGAAGUCUUCCCAUGACCCCCUUUUCCCUCCAAUUUGGGCCAGAGACCUCUUUAUUCCCUCAGCCGCUUGUAAGGAUCUAUCAUAAAAAUGAAAACCCUGAAUUGAAAUUGUCUAUGUCACCCAUUCAGCUGCAGUGAAUGAGAGAGCAUCUGACAAGCUCUUUAAGGUCUGCCUGUGCCUGUCAUCCUCAGAACAAGUGAAGGGCAGAGAUGCCCAGUCAGUAUUAGAUGGAUAAACAGGCAGUGAGCAAACAGUUGGGAUGUUUGUCAUCUUUACUGGGGCUUCAGACUCGCCUUACCUUGUUUGCCAUUUCUUCAUUUCUAGAAGCUGACUAUGAAGGAGCAAUCAAUGGGCAGAGUCCCCAAAUGCUCUGAUUCUCUUUGCUUGGCCCAGGCGCCUUGGCAUCAGAUUUUGAAAGACCUGACCCAGAAAAGAGUGAGCUGACCGUUAUAGGGAGAGCAACAUUCUAUUGACACAUUCCAGAUGGGUCUGCAUCUGAGACUUAAAAGGACAGCAGGCCAACAGCUGCAGUCCCAAGAAUCAUGCUGGGGCCAGGUCAGAGGGGCUUGGGAGUCAGGGCUUGGACUUGGUCAAGGCUGGAUUUCUGUCUUUACACCUCACACCAGCUGUGUGAUUCCAGCCGUGUCACUGUACUUCUGUGUUUUGGUUCCCUCGUCUGUAAAGCAGAGCCUGCCUCUCAGCUUGCUGGUAGGGGUUGAGUGAGAGUGAUUGGAGAACAUCUUCCCCAAGGCCAAGUUUUCUGACGUGACUGCAGAUUGCCUGUCCUGAAGGCUGGGAGUUCUCUGCCUUUCUGCCGUGAUGGGAAGUGCCCCGUGGAGGACCAGGAGUGUGGCAGAGUUUUUCAGUGGUGCUAAGUGUGUCUCUGGUCUCCCGGGCACCUUUGUCUUCAUUGCUAGCACCUCGGCAUUCCCAAUGGGCUGGUGGGCCUACACCCUCACCUGGGCAGCAGCAUGGCUCACACAUGGGCAUUUGGGGCACAAAGUUUUAAUGUCUCUGAACUGUUUUCUGAGCAAUGCUGAAUUUUCUUCUGUCAGUUUCUAGGCCAAGGAAUUAGCAGCCACACCUCAUUUCUGGAUCAAAUUUGGCAGAGAAUCUAGCAAACCUGCCUGACAUAAUGCCCACUACCCUUUUCAUCCAUCUCUGGGGGCUUGAAGUUUCCUUUUGAUUACCUCUGGCAGUCUUUCCAAUGUGCCAGAGGCAUGGGGACUCAGAUUGGGAAGGGCUUGUGGGUGCCAGCCUGUGACCAAGCACAGGGCCUCUUUCAUGCCUGCUAUCCAACCUCCACUUGAACACUUGUAGUGACAUGGCCUCACUACUGCCAGCUCAGACUUCCCACAUUUCAGACACUCCAGAGAUUGUCAGUUCUGCCACAUUCUUCUCAUUGAACUCCUUCUCCACCUUUAAAACGUACCUCUCCCACUCUGUGAUGGCUUUCCUGCCCAGGAGCCAGCAGAAGACUGCUCACUCUUUCUGCUCUCUAAACGUGCAGUGCACUAACUGGUGCCUAUCUGACCAUAAUUGUAUAUUUGCACAUUCGUUUUAUGGACAGCACAUCAAUGCCAAAAACAAAAUUUGCCAAAUCAGUCAGCAGCAGUAGGAGCUCAGCACCCAUGGCUGAUAAGGGAACUGGAAGGACUUGUGCUUUGAAGUCAGUCCUAACUACAGGUUUGGGGGGCGGGGGGCAGGGGAGGAAGGCUGGUCUGGCAUUAUAGUGGGAAAGUAAAGUGCAAAGCCCAAGUGAGUGAUGGGGAAAUGCCAGGACCUGACCCAGCAAGCUGAGAAGUGAAACUGCUCUCCACCAAGCCCGAGUACGCCCCCUUGUGGUGAGGGAGAGCUGUGCAGGGUUUCCCAUGGGAGCGCAGGGUGGAGAAAAACCAGGCAGGUGAGGGGGAACCAGCGCCUCUGCAUCUUGGAAGAGUUGAAGGCACCCUCAGGGAAUCUGGCUCAGGGGUAGAGGGGAAGAUGCUGGUCUAGAAAAGCCAGCCCCUACUGGCCCUCUGUUGUCCAGGCUGUGCAGGGGAAAGGAGGAGAGGGAAUUAAAACUACAGGACCUAGAGCUCUAAGCUCUAUUUACAUUAUCUUGUUUAAUCUUGCCAUGCAGAUGAGAAACUGAGACUCAGAGAGGGUGACGUAACUAGAACAUAGCCCAGGCAGGAUGGGGACCCUGCUCCAGGCCACCCCCAUGUCCUCCUUUAGGCCGAUUUUCUGAUUAUUAAAGCAUUGGGAUCCUACUGGGAGACAGUGGGAUUUUCUUCAGAUGAGAUGCUCUCGGACCUUUAGCCUCCUAUGGCAUUCCUGGCAGGAGUAGCGCAGGGAAAACUAGGAUUUGGAGUCGGAUGGGUUUUUUUCUCCUUCAGAUUUAUAUUACUGUACAUGGAGUGGGGUGGGAGUGAAGAAGAUUCUCCCUUUAGAAGAAUCAGUCUGUUCACCUUCAAAACCUAUCCAGACAGACUGGAUCUUCCAGCCUUCUCCAAGGGGCUGUGAGGGGGACAUCUUGAGCUGAACUGUGUCACCGACUGAAGCUCCCUGCUGUCUGGCCCUGACAGAGUUUCUGUGCUGCUCUCCAGCUGGAGUGCUGGCCCUCUCUUAAACCAUGUGCAUUCUUCGGCCAGAGGUCCCUGCAGCCAUAAGUAGUUCCUGAGCACAUACUCUAUUCCAGGCACAAGGAGGAGGCAGAACAGACCACCUGCCUGUAAAGCUACACUGUAAUGUGCAUUUGAGGCUUCUGCAGGUCGGUCUAUUAUAGGGGGAAAAUUAGGGCUAUUGGCUAAAAAGAAAAAAGUCUGUACUCUUGCUUCAUUAGGUAGCACUGUAGGUUUUAUUUUUUCUUGGUGGAGGUUGGGGAUAAUGUCAUUUAUUUAUUUAUUUUGAGAGAGAAGACAGAUGUGGUCAGACCUAUUCUCAAAGGGAUAAAGGUAAUGACAUGACUUAUCAGCCUUUCCUUGGAGCCACAGUGCAGGAAACAGGAAGACACUGCCCACUAAAGUGGGGGCUGUUUCUCUGGAACCUGAGCUCAGGACCAGUUCUCUUUGCCCUGCUGGGUGCUUCCAAGGGAAGACAAUAGUGGCAGAUAAUGUGGCUUCUUUCUCUGAUUCCAGGAGCCAAAGGAAAUGUCAGUUGCCUCUGGGACGGAACGUGACCUCCUUUAAGUUUGGGAGCAUGAAACCAAUGCAGUCAAAAUAUCACCCCAACCCCCUUCUGUUCCCUGGGAAAGAGACAACUCUGAGAAUAGCCUGGUGAAAGUAGAAAGAGCCCAGUCUUUGAAACAGUGCAGACAUGGGUUCGAAUCCUGGUUUGGCCAUUUAUUAGCCCUGUGAUCUUGGACAACUUACUCAAAUAUUCCAAGCCUGAGUGUCCUCAUCUGUAAUGAUAAUUUUUAUACCUACCUCACUUAGCAGUAAGAUGUAUUACAAAGCCAUAGCCCAAGAAGCAGUAAAGAACAAAGCAGACAAAUGGAAGAAAAUAGAAAAUCCUGAAGCAGAUCUAGGAAUCUAUGAUAGUUUGAUAUGAGAGGGAGGUGACAUCAAGAAUUGGUAAACAAAGGACUGAAUAUUCAGUAAAUGCUGCUGGAGAGACUGGCUUCUAACUGGACCAAAAUAAAGUCACUUUAUAGGUAUGUGUGUCUUCAUGUCUUCAGUUAUCUUUGGUUGACUAAGACCUAAAUGGGAAAAGGAAAACUAUAAAAAGAAGAGACUUGUGGUUGCUGGGGGUGGGAUGGACUGGGAGUUUGGGGUUGAUAGAUGCAGACUAUUAUUGUAUUUGGAGUGGACAGGCAAUGAGAUCCUGCUGUGUAGCACAGGGAACUAUAUCUAGUCACUUGUGAUGGAACAUGAUGGAGGAUAAUGUAAGAAAUAGAAGGUAGAUGUAUGUAUGACUGGGUCACUUUGCUGUACAGGAGAAACUGACAACACUGUAAAUCAACUAUAAUGGAAAAUAUUAAAAUCUUAUUUAAAAAAACAACUAAUAAAAUGGUAUUGGGCCUCAUCAUGGUCAACAUCCAGCCCCAAUAAGGAAAAGACAGAAAAGUUUGCCCCAGGAGCCAGGACAUCUACAAAGGCUGUUGGUGGACCUGGACAGUUUCUGGCCAGAGGAACCAUCUCCACCUUCAACCAGUUUGUGCUAAAGAGGUUUUUCACGAGUCGCACUGACUCCCCACCUCUGUCCAUGUCCUGGAUGAUCCAGAGGAUGAAGCUCGCCAGCCGGCAAGACAGAACGGACAACGCCCUGUCCGGGAGGCGCCUACACGAAGGGCUGGCGCUGCGCGGGAGCAGCCACACGGGGGCAGCCUCGCUGGAGCCGCAGCCUCGCGAGGACAGAAAGGGACAACAUCUUUCUCCUAGGCCAGCUGGCGCCCCACUGCUGCGGGGUGUGGCCCUCGCAAGGUUCAGAGCUGGCACAGCCACACCAAACCCUCCCAACGCUCCAAGGGCCAGAAGUUCAAGAACGCCCAGAGACCACGGACACUAACGCCAGAUUUUGCCUUGUUACUGAAACAGUUUUGGAUACUAUGGGGGGAAAACUCAUAAAAGAACAUCAUUUUAACCUCAGGGAAGGUAAGGAUUUCCUAAAGGCGAUCCCAGAUGGCUAGAUGUGGGCUCUGGGGGCAAGUGCUGCUGUGCAGAAAGGGGCUUCUGAACUCUUGGGGGGCGGGGCGGGCUGGACCCUGCUUUCUCCUCAGAGGGUUCAGUGGAGUCUGGGGAAUCGACACUUUCAAGGGCAUCUACACAGGUGUCCCUAUCCCAUUGGUCAGGACCUUGACCUGAUGGAUUUGCCCCAGUGAGGUAGUUAAUGGUCUUUGAAGUUCAGCCACUCUGGACUGUUCUGUCUUGGGAUUGUCUUGGGUUCAUUCCCCCUUCCCUGAAUAGAAGAUGAAAGUUGCCUUGUGUGCAGUUUAAGAGGCUCCUGUGGCUUCCAUUCCUGACUUUCCACUGGCUGCUGCUACACUUAGCUGUUCAUUAUCUUUCAAGGCAGGUAUCCAGAGUACUUACAAAGCACAUGGCCUUUUAAUACUGUUGUCUUUUAGCGUUGCUAUUACUCCCACCCCUCCCAGAAUCUUAAAUGCCUGGUACAUUCAUGGCCCAUGGGCACCCUCCACCCACAGGUGCACCACGGCUACAAGCUUCAGCAGUUGGUAGCCACCUGGCGCUCAGGCCUGCCUGUGCUUCACCUGCCACCAGAGAUGGGGUCCUUCUGGCCGGCUGAGAGGGGAAUAAUGCAGUCCCAAGCUCCAAAUAACCACCUGCUUUCUCGGACCAGUCCCAGCUGCCACAGGUAAGGUCCUCAGAAAGUAAACACUGAAAUGGAGUUCCAGGGAUAAGCGGUUUGCUCGGGACCACUACCUAAUUGGGCAGAGGAAGAAGGCCACUGACAAGCCUUGGCCAGUCUAUAGGGAGACCAGGAGCCAGCCUUGCUGAGCAGAGCUGUCCCACAUCUGGCUGAAGUGUCUGGCUGGUGUACUGCCCCCGCCUCUUCUCCAUCACUCGGUCAUCAGGGGUGGCUGCCCCAGGAAGGGCUGCUCUCUGCAGCUUGGCAGCAAGUCCUUACACAAAGUGGUCCCUUUGUCCACCACAGAUCAGAAAUGUAGUUUGUGUGUGAAGGCAGACUGUGUGCGUGAAUGAUAGCCAGCGCAUGCUGAGUACUGUGCCAGAUGAGGCUAAGUGCCAUUUAUACUCUGAGUCAGGGACCAUUAUUGGCCUCAUAUUUGUGUGCCCAGAUGAAGAAACUGAGGCAUGAAAAGUGAAAAUGACUUAGUCAAGGUUGCAUAGCAUGGAAUGGAGUUGAAGAUUCCCUCUGGAGAUUUUUUUUUAAUAAAAUUUGCUUGGAAUAAUUUUAAAC
rnacentral:lncRNA from 1 species